CUAUCACUUAUAUAUUAUCAGCAUAUAUAAAAAUCAUUCAUAGGUUACAAACAGAAUGAAUUAUUGUAGUAUUCUUUACAAUUAUGUACAUGAAAUAGAAAACAAAUAAAUAAAAUCAAAAACCUUUAACAUUGCGUUGAUUUCUACGCUCGUAUUAUAUUUACAACCUUACAACUUCUUCAUUUAUGCUAAAAAUAAUUGAAAAAUUCAAUUUUUACCACAAUUUUGAAAGUAAAAACUCGUGAGUUCCUACAUAUGCCCAAGAAAAUACUUCAUAAGGACAAAUAAAAAUACACUGCUAAAAAACCAAUGGCUAUUCAAACAUUUUUAGUGAACUUCCUAUUAUUUGCCACAUAAUGUACAUUAAUCAUUCAUUGAAUAGGACUCAUCUACAAUUGACAUAAAUGAUUGAUAAAUGAUUAUAAUUUUGAUUCGAAAAUUUGUCGCAGCAAGUUCUCAACAUAUUUCUACUAAUACCUAAUUUUCAAAACUACCUAUCGAGUAUUGAACACAGUUUUUCAGUCAAUGUUAUCAGUAAAAGGACUGCUUGAAAAUAAAGUUCCAAAUAUAUUUCUUCGUGAUGAUCCUUAAAAUCUACGACUAGGUAUUCCGGAUUCAAAUGCAUAAUUUCACAAGGUCCAACCAUUUUCCAUGUUACCCUAUAUAUAUACACAUUCAUGAAAUUGAUUGGGCCAGCAGUGCAUCUGUACAUACAUUUAUGGGUACAAAGAAAUAUUUAAUAAAACAAAUAAAAAGCCAACUCAUUGGUAGUGGAAGUUUACUGAUAUUAAAUUAAAAUUAUGAUACAUGGAUACCAUGGGGGAAAAAUUCCAAUGCCAAGUUUGUCAGUGAUAUCAGAAUUUCGAUUAAUUAGAAUAUAUACAUAAUUAAAGAAAUCCUUUGUCAUUUCAAAUCGACUUUAUCGCACUUGUUGAUUUCGAA